AUUGAACGCUGGCGGCAGGCCUAACACAUGCAAGUCGAACGAAUGGCGGAGGGGUGAGUAAUGGCUGGGAAACUGGCUGACGGAGGGGGAUAACGACUGGAAACGGUAGCUAAUACCGCAUACCAUCAGAUGUGCCCAGGGGGGAUUAGCUAGUUGGUGGGGUAACGGCUCACCAAGGGGACGAUGCCUAGCUGGUCUGAGAGGAUGACCGGCCACACUGGGACUGAGACACGGUCCAGACUCCUACGGGAGGAAGCAGUGGGGAAUAUUGGGCAAUGGGCGCAAGUCUGAUGGAGCCAUGCCGCGUGUAUGAAGAAGGCCUUCGGGUUGUAAAGUACUGUCGUUGGGGAGGCGUUAUCCGCAGAAAAAGCCCCGGCUAACUCCGUGCCAGCAGCCGCGGUAAUAC
rnacentral:rRNA from 1 species